rnacentral:rRNA from 1 species
AGCAGUAGCCGCGGUAAUACGAAGGGGGCUAGCGUUGUUCGGAUUUACUGGGCGUAAAGGGUGCGUAGGCGGAUUGUUAAGUCAGGGGUGAAAUCCCGAGGCUCAACCUCGGAACUGCCUUUGAUACUGGCGAUCUUGAGUCCGGGAGAGGUGAGUGGAACUGCGAGUGUAGAGGUGAAAUUCGUAGAUAUUCGCAAGAACACCGGUGGCGAAGGCGGCUCACUGGCCCGGUACUGACGCUGAGGCACGAAAGCGUGGGGAGCAAACAGGAUUAGAUACCCGCGUAGUCCCUGUCUCUUAUAC